GCUGGGCACAGUGGCACAUGCCUGUAAUCCCAGCGGCCUGGGAGGCUGAGGCAGGAGGAUUUCAAAUUUAAACUAGCCUCAGUAAUGGUGAGGCACUGAGCAACUCAUGAGACCCUGUCUCUA
rnacentral:sRNA from 1 species